UACAGAGGGUGCUAGCGUUAAUCGGAUUUACUGGGCGUAAAGCGUGCGUAGGCGGUUUGAUAAGUCGGUUGUGAAAGCCCCGGGCUCAACCUGGGAAUUGCGGCCGAUACUGUCAGACUAGAAAACGGUAGAGGGAGGCGGAACUCCAGGUGUAGCGGUGAAAUGCGUAGAUAUCUGGAAGAACACCGAUGGCGAAGGCA
rnacentral:rRNA from 1 species